AGUGAACGCUGGCGGUAGGCCUAACACAUGCAAGUCGAACGGCAGCACAGGAGAGCUUGCUCUCUGGGUGGCGAGUGGCGGACGGGUGAGGAAUACAUCGGAAUCUACUCUGUCGUGGGGGAUAACGUAGGGAAACUUACGCUAAUACCGCAUACGACCUACGGGUGAAAGCAGGGGACCUUCGGGCCUUGCGCGAUUGAAUGAGCCGAUGUCGGAUUAGCUAGUUGGCGGGGUAAAGGCCCACCAAGGCGACGAUCCGUAGCUGAUCUGAGAAGAUGAUCAGCAACACUGGAACUGAAACACUGUCCAGACUCCUACGGGAGGCAGCAGUGGGGAAUAUUGGACAAUGGGCGCAAGCCUGAUCCAGCCAUACCGCGUGGGUGAAGAAGGCCUUCGGGUUGUAAAGCCCUUUUGUUGGGAAAGAAAUCCAGCUGGCUAAUACCCGGUUGGGAUGACGGUACCCAAAGAAUAAGCACCGGCUAACUUCGUGCCAGCCGCCGCCGUAA
rnacentral:rRNA from 1 species